rnacentral:rRNA from 1 species
AUUGAACGCUGGCGGCAUGCCUUACACAUGCAAGUCGAACGGCAGCGGGGACUUCGGUCCGCCGGCGAGUGGCGAACGGGUGAGUAAUGUAUCGGAACGUACCUUUCAGUGGGGGAUAACGUAGCGAAAGUUACGCUAAUACCGCAUAUUCUCUGAGGAGGAAAGCAGGGGACCUUCGGGCCUUGUGCUGAUGGAGCGGCCGAUAUCAGAUUAGCUAGUUGGUGAGGUAAAGGCUCACCAAGGCGACGAUCUGUAGCGGGUCUGAGAGGAUGGUCGCCCACAAUGGGACUGAGACACGGCCCAGCCUCCUACGGGAGGCAGCAGUGGGGAAUUUUGGACAAUGGGCGCAAGCCUGAUCCAGCCAUGCCGCGUGAGUGAAGAAGGCCUUCGGGUUGUAAAGCUCUUUCGGACGGGAAGAAAUUGGUGGGGCUAAUAUCCCCAUCGGAUGACGGUACCGUAAUAAGAAGCACCGGCUAACUACGUGCCAGCCGCCGCCGUAACAC